UACGUAGGGUCCAAGCGUUGUCCGGAAUUACUGGGCGUAAAGAGCUCGUAGGUGGUUUGUCGCGUUGUUCGUGAAAACUCACAGCUCAACUGUGGGCGUGCGGGCGAUACGGGCAGACUUGAGUACUGCAGGGGAGACUGGAAUUCCUGGUGUAGCGGUGGAAUGCGCAGAUAUCAGGAGGAACACCGGUGGCGAAGGCGGGUCUCUGGGCAACAACUGACGCUGAGGAGCGAAAGCGUGGGGAGCGAACAGG
rnacentral:rRNA from 1 species